rnacentral:rRNA from 1 species
UACGAAGGGGGCUAGCGUUGCUCGGAAUCACUGGGCGUAAAGGGUGCGUAGGCGGGUCUUAAGUCAGGGGUGAAAUCCUGGAGCUCAACUCCAGAACUGCCUUUGAUACUGAAGAUCUUGAGUCCGGGAGAGGUGAGUGGAACUGCGAGUGUAGAGGUGAAAUUCGUAGAUAUUCGCAAGAACACCAGUGGCGAAGGCGGCUCACUGGCCCGGUACUGACGCUGAGGCACGAAAGCGUGGGGAGCAAACAGGG